rnacentral:rRNA from 1 species
GACGAACGCUGGCGGCGUGCUUAACACAUACAAGUCGAGCGGUAAGGCCCUUUCGGGGGUACACGAGCGGCGAACGGGUGAGUAACACGUGGGUGACCUGCCCUCAGCUCUGGGAUAAGCCUGGGAAACCGGGUCUAAUACCGGAUAUGACUCCAUGACGCAUGUUGUGGGGUGGAAAGCCUUGUGCGGCUGAGGAUGGGCCCGCGGCCUAUCAGCUUGUUGGUGGGGUGAUGGCCUACCAAGGCGACGACGGGUAGCCGGCCUGAGAGGGCGACCGGCCACACUGGGACUGAGACACGGCCCAGACUCCUACGGGAGGCAGCAGUGGGGAAUCUUGCGCAAUGGGCGAAAGCCUGACGCAGCGACGCCGCGUGAGGGAUGACGGCCU